UAUGAAUUGUUUUGUUGGCCUGCCACCGUUUUCCUGAAUAGCUUGUUCAGUUCCCGUCUGAUCGGAAUGUCUGUUGUGUGUUCUGUAUUGUGAUUUCGUCCGAUCUGUUAUCACUUGGUUGUUUCGCGUUAUGAUUACCGUCACGUGCAUAUUUUGUAAAUAACAUUAGUGAAUUCCCUUUUUCUAUUUAUCAUAAAUAUUUAUUUUUUCAAGAAAACUAAUGUAUUUCUAGGGCUCCAUUGGGAUAAAAGUUUUGGAUCUACUGUUAUCAAUUGUUAAACUAUCAAUGCGAGACAGUCGAUGCCGUAUAUUUAAUAGUUGACCGUUCACCGGUUCGGAAAUGCUCUUAGUUUGGGUUAAUCGAACGUCAUGCCGGAAGAGUCGCCGGGCGCACUGUAUGUCGUCCACGACAACACCACCGACGACGCCACAGCCACCACCUUCCAUGAAGGGUAACCACAGCCGGCGCCACUGCUGACGACCACAGCCGUCACCAUGACAUUGUUGCUGAAGAACCGGCGCCUGGCCGGGCGGCCGUUUUCGGUGAAGCGCUGCGUGGCCGCACUCAUGGUGCUUGGCUUCUUAUCUAUAUUCUACUAUACGCAGUAUUUGAGCUCACCAAUUGCCAGUUUACCAACUGAAGCGGCGGUACUUAUUCAUAAUGCUUUUUGAUUAUAUUCACAAAUAGUACCAAUUACUUGAUAGAUAAUCAAUUCAUUAAAAUUACUAUAUAAAAUACUUCAUAGUUUAGUUAAACAGUUUUCAUUAUUACUUAAAUUAAUCUAGAUAAAAAAAUUACUAUUAUGUUCUUAAAAUCGCGUUUCUAAACAUUUAAUAUAAACGAUUUCGUUCGAUCAGCAUAUAUAAUAAUGGACCUACUAUUUGUGCAUGGACAGUACGAUGCACAAGAAAGAUACGUUAGUAAUGUCUGUAUACUUGAUCAGCGAAUUAGUGACUGAUUAUAAUGUUUGCAACCGGUUUACACUAAGAAGUUAAUCGAUUCUCAU